rnacentral:rRNA from 1 species
AAUGAACGCUGGCGGCAUGCCUUACACAUGCAAGUCGAACGGCAGCAUGACCUAGCUUGCUAGGUUGAUGGCGAGUGGCGAACGGGUGAGUAAUGCAUCGGAACGUGCCUUUUAGUGGGGGAUAACGUAGCGAAAGUUACGCUAAUACCGCAUAUUCUCUGAUGAGGAAAGCAGGGGAGCUUCGGGCCUUGCGCUAGAAGAGCGGCCGAUGUCGGAUUAGCUAGUUGGUGAGGUAAAGGCUCACCAAGGCAAUGAUCCGUAGCGGGUCUGAGAGGAUGAUCCGCCACACUGGGACUGAGACACGGCCCAGACUCCUACGGGAGGCAGCAGUGGGGAAUUUUGGACAAUGGGCGCAAGCCUGAUCCAGCCAUGCCGCGUGAGUGAAGAAGGCCUUCGGGGUGUAAAGCUCUUUCGGCUGGGAAGAAAUCGCACCCUCUAAUACAGGGUGUGGAUGACGGUACCAGCAGAAGAAGCACCGGCUAACUACGUG